CUGGUGUCGGUUCUGCAUGGAAGCAGGUGACCAGGCUCUCAUUGCUUUUGUGCGGCUCCUUUGCUCUUGGUUGAUUUUGAGUAAUAGCUUCACUUCUGCGGAGAGAGGAUUUUAUUUGAAGCCUAUUCAGAGAUUUGGUUCAACAAACUGGACUAUAGGUUUCAUAAAAUCUCUUUUGAACCUUCCUAUAAUAGAUUUUCUCAUCGGUUAUUCCUGGAACGCUUCACGCUCCACAGCCACGCUCGGCAGCUCUGCUGGGCUCUGCCCCUUUGCCCAUUAACCUGCCUUGUCAACUUGGGAUUUUAACAGAGGAAAAUUGUUUUAAAUUUUCCUGAUUAAUUGCUUGACAUCCCAAUUUCCCUGUUGCCAGGAAGUUCUGAUAUUUCUUUAGCGCUUCCUUUCCUUUUCCCCAUCUUGUUCCCUGAAGUAUUGCUCUUAUAUCUCAGCAAUGCAAAGAGAAAGAACAGGGCUCACUGCCAUCCACGUGACAUCACUCUGGGGAACUGCCCCCCAUUGUGUCUGUGGCCCCUUUUGUUUCAGUUCACUCUGCUGCUGUAGCAAAGUCACAUAGAGUGGGCAGUGUAUGAAGUGUCUACAGCUCUAGAUGCCAGAGGUUUAGAGACAGAGGCACUAGUAGACCUGGCAUCUAGUAAGGGCGGAGUUCUUAUGGACUGAUGGCGGUUAGCAUAUAUCAAUGUGGUAGGAACAAGAAGUGUUCUCUGGGUCUUUUUUAUUUAUCAGACUUGAAAUCCCAUCUACAGGGGUCAAACAAACCUAUGCUCCUUUCCCGUGCUGUACCAUCUAGAAAAGUUCCUGGCUUGGGCUUUGUGAAGCUGGCACUUCUCCACGGCCAACGUUGAUUCAUAACCACCAAUGUGACUCUACAAGGCAGCCAGACUUGGAGCAGAAUGAAGAAAAUAUGGAACUCAAAGAGCUGCAGCAAGAACAUGAAGAUCACAGGUUCUUGUGACCAGAGAGAUCGUGUUAGGAGGUGCGGCCGGUCGUGAGGAUGGAGAGCUUCUGAAUGCGGUUGGUACCUUAUAAACAGAACAAUGGGUGUACCCUGCUCUUUCUGCAGUGAGAAGCUGGCAGUCUGGAAACACCUGAUGUGAUGUCCCAGUGUCCAGGACUGAGCACCAGUAUCUCCGUCACCACACCACUAAAACAGCCUCAGAAGACAAGGGACACUGCUCUAGCACAAAGGCCACUCCUGCAGAUUUACACCUGCUCAGGAAAACUCAAUGCUAACGCUAAGUCUGGGUCAAAAACUACUUCUCCACUCUUUAUUUUGGGAAGAGAGCGCCUGACAUUAUUAUUUCUGGUGGCGGAAACAGAAAUGGAAUUUGUUUGAUGUGGAGUCUCACUGCACAGAUUAUGCGGGGGUAUUAUCAUCUACAGGAAGCAAAAGGAAUGCAUUUUUAGAAACAUUUCGGACUAUAUUUGUUGUUGUUGCUGCUGCUGCUGGUGGUGGUGGUGUGUGUGUGUGUGUGUGUGCAUGUAUGUGUGUGUGCCUGUGUGUGUGCAUGUAUAUGUGCGUGUGUGGUUUAGUACUCACCACACCGUGCAGGUGGAGGUCUGAAGAGUUGGUUUUUGCUGUCCACAUGUGAUCCCAGAAAUUGAGCUCAGGCUAUCAGGUUUAACAGCAUCUUUACCCACUGAACCCCCUCACUGGCCCAGGAAUACACUUUGUGCAGAAAUUGGCACGUUGAGAAUCACUGUAGCUGGGUGGGGCUUCAGCAAGUGUGUGCUUGACUCCCAUCAGCCAUGUCACACCUGAGGAACGGAAGGAUGAAGUGCUGCCAGCGCCCAGUUGGUAGGACUGGGAAUGCCGUUAAACUCUCCUCAAAGCAGAGGACUGUCCCUACAACCAAGCAUCAUUUGGCUGCAAAUGUCAGCAGUGCCAAGCAUGGUCCAGCUUCCUUGUGCUGUUCCCACCCUCGUGGUGGCUGCCCUUUCAGGCCCAGGGCUCGUCUGAGCCCAGCAGUCUGCAGAGAAAUUUUAAAGGCCUGGACCAUAUUAACGUCAAAGGAAAAGAAUAAAUUCACAUGAAAGCUUGCCUUUCGCAUACCAGGAGCGCCAUAAAAAAUAUUUUAAUUAAACAGUGAAUGGAUUAAAACAUUAAUUUCACAUGUGUUUUAAUAAAUAACAAGAAGAUGGCUUCUCAUAUA